ensembl:lncRNA
AUGUUCCUUACCUGGGAUUUUCUUUGCCCUGGGAUUUUUUUUAGCUCUGGGAUGUUCUUUACCUGGGAUUUUCUUUGCCCUGAGAUUUUCAUUUGCCUCAUGAUUUUCUUUGCCCCGGGAUUUUCUUUGCCCUGGGAUGUUCCUUACCUGGGAUUUUCUUUGCCCUGGGAUGUUCCUUACCUGGGAUUUUCAUUUGCCUCAGGAUUUUCUUUGCCCUGGGAUGUUCCUUACCUGGGAUUUUCUUUGCCCUGGGAUGUUCCUUACCUGGGAUUUUCUUUGCCCUGGGAUUUAUUUUUGCCCUGGGAUGUUCCUUACCUGGGAUUUUCUUUGCCUUGGGAUUUUCUUUGCCCUGGGAUUUUUUUUUGCCCUGGGAUGUUCCUUACCUGGGAAUUUCUUUGCCCUGGGAUUUUUUUUUGCUCUGGGAUGUUCCUUACCUGGGAUUUUCUUUGCCCUGGGAUUUUCUUUGCCCUGGGAUUUUUUUUUGCCUUGGGAUGUUCCUUACCUGGGAUUUUCUCUGCCCUGGGAUUUUCUUUGCCCUGGGAUGUUCCUUACCUGGGAUUUCCAUUUGCCUCAGGAUUUUCUUUGCCCUGGGAUUUUUUUUGCUCUGGGAUGUUCCUUACCUGGGAUUUUCUUUGCCCUGGGAUUUUCUUUGCCCUGGAAUGUUCCUUACCUGGGAUUUUCUUUGCCUGGGAUUUUCUUUGCCCUGGGAUGUUCCUUACCUGGGAUUUCUUUGCCCUGGAAUGUUCCUUACCUGGGAUUUUCCUUGUCCUGGGGUUUUCCUGCCCCAGGAUCCGUGUUUUCCCAGGAUGCUGCUGCCCUGGGAUGCCGAUUUUCUGGGAGAUGCCUGCCCUGGGACGCUGCUGCCCAGGAAUUCUCACAAUCCCAGAUAUUCCCGGCAGGCUGGGAUGGAGCAGCCCGAGCAGAGCAGUGCCCAAGGCCCAUCCUGAACAGAUCCAUUCCCUUUGAAAAGUGAAUUCUGAUUCAUUCAAAAAGUGUUUCAUUCAAAAAGUGAAUUCUGCACUUUUUGGGCAGAGCCCCUGGCUCGGGUGGGACAGCCCCGAGGUUUGGGGUGACCUGGGGUGCCACAGAGCUUCCCUAAAAACUCAGUAAGUGGGGGUGUGUGAGACUGAGAGCACAAAUACUCGUUUUUUUCUACCUAAAAUGACAGAGACGUUCCUCUUUCCUCUGCUGACCACUUGGUUGUUCCUGCCAGUUCUUGGAAAGCACAACAGAGUUUUUUUUUUGAGAGAAUUGGGGUUGAGAGGCAGCUCUGAGCUGUGGUGCUUUGUAGGAACACAAAAAGGUACCAGACUUUAGAAAGUGUAAAAAGGCCCAAGAAAAUAGACAUAAAGUUGAGAAAGGCUGGGAAAUGUUAAAACUUUCUCACGGGGAGCUAAGAAAAUAAGAACUAAGUGGAUACACUUAUAUUUAUCAUAAGGAACAAGAAAGAGCAAGAACUUAUUGAUAGUUUGAGAUGGGUAAAGUCCUAGAUAGAAGCUUUGCAAAGAUAAAUCCAGCAGAGCUGUUUUUGGGGCUGGUUUGGGGCUGUUUUUGGGGCUGUUUUGGGGCUGUUUUGGGGCUGUUUUGGGGCUGGUUUUGGGGCUGUUUUUGGGGCUGGGUUUGGGGCUGGUUUUGGGGCUGGGUUUGGGGCUGGUUUAGGGCUGGUUUGGGGCUGGUUUGGGGCUGGGUUUGGGGCUGGUUUGGGGCUGGUUUGGGGCUGUUUUGGGGCUGGUUUGGGGCUGGUUUGGGGUUGGGUUGGGGCUGGUUUUGGGGCUGGAUUGGGGGCUGUUUUUGGGGCUGGUUUGGGGCUGGUUUGGGGCUGGGUUUGGGGCUGGUUUGGGGCUGUUUUGGGGCUGUUUUGGGGCUGUUUUUGGGGCUGGUUUGGGGCUGGUUUGGGGCUGUUUUUGGGGCUGGUUUGGGGCUGGUUUGGGGCUGGUUUGGGGCUAGUUUGGGGCUGUUUUGGGGCUGUUUUGGGGCUGGAUUUGGGGCUGGUUUUGGGGCUGGUUUUGGGGCUGGGUUUGGGGCUGUUUUUGGGGCUGGUUUGGGGCUGUUUUUGGGGCUGUUUUGGGGCUGGUUUUGGGGCUGGUUUGGGGCUGGUUUGGGGCUGGUUUGGGGCUGGUUUGGGGCUGGGUUUGGGGCUGGUUUGGGGCUGGUUUGGGGCUGUUUUGGGGCUGGGUU